rnacentral:rRNA from 1 species
AUUGAACGCUGGCGGCAUGCUUUACACAUGCAAGUCGAACGGUAACAGGUUAAGCUGACGAGUGGCGAACGGGUGAGUAAUGCAUCGGAACGUGCCCGAUCGUGGGGGAUAACACUUCGAAAGAAGUGCUAAUACCGCAUACGAUCUGAGGAUGAAAGCGGGGGACCGUAAGGCCUCGCGCGAUCGGAGCGGCCGAUGUCAGAUUAGGUAGUUGGUGGGGUAAGGGCUCACCAAGCCGACGAUCUGUAGCUGGUCUGAGAGGACGACCAGCCACACUGGGACUGAGACACGGCCCAGACUCCUACGGGAGGCAGCAGUGGGGAAUUUUGGACAAUGGGCGCAAGCCUGAUCCAGCAAUGCCGCGUGCAGGAAGAAGGCCUUCGGGUUGUAAACUGCUUUUGUACGGAGCGAAAAGGCUCCCUCUAAUACAGGGGGCUCAUGACGGUACCGUAAGAAUAAGCACCGGCUAACUACGUGCCAGCCGCCGCGGUAAAAC